GCGCCACUGAGCUCACAUGUCACCACCCCCCUACAUACCAGAGACCCUGUGGGCCAGCCUCGGAUGCACACAGGAUGGUGAUCUCCCAGAAUUCCAGGAGCUGUGGUGCUGGGGGAGCAGGCCUGCUGGGGGUCCCCUUCUUUUCGGGGAGCUGGCUGCCGCUUCUUGUUUUCAUUGGCUGGGCUUCUGGCUCAGGUCUGCAGGCAAACAGGCAAGAAUGAAGAUUAGCCCUGAGCUGACAUCUGCUGCCAAUCCUCCUCUUUUUCCUGAGGAAGACUG